UACAGGUGGAGAAGUGUUUUUCUCAUGUUCUUUUCUUGUCCAGGUGUGUUUGGGAUUCACCCUCACCAAGAUGCAUUCAGUUACCAAUGAGACUCUUUAAUUGUUCAGGAUUUAGCUACCUCUAUUUAGUCUUUUCAGGGUAACUUCUUUAAGACUUUUAAGUUAUGCAUGAAACAAGAAGGAAAACAAAUUAAGCCCUGCCAGAAAGCAACUUAGCCCCAUCACGUCAGCAUAGCCCCUAGCAGUUGACUUAAUUAUCACAUUUGCCCAAGGAUUCUUCUAGAUUCAGAUUCACAGCUCCACUCCGAAUUUAUGAUUCCAGUAAGCAUUCCAAUCAAUUUGCCCACAUGAACAGAUCUGAUUGUCUUUCCUUGUGUGUCCUUUUUAUUUCAUUUUUUUUUUAAGUCAACACAAAUCCUAACACGAUGUGAAUGAAGUUAGGCACAUAAUGCAAUAGCUGACAGGAUGCUUGGACAGCUCUGAAAAUCCAUUAUCACCUCUCCCUGAUACAGAACGUCACUAGUUUAGAUAGAGUUUACCAACUUUAGUUUAGAAAGAGUUUACUAGCUUUCCUUUGCCAAGUAAAUGCAGAGACUGAGUCCACGUGUGCAGUACAGCACUACCGUCAAUCCAGCGAGGUUUAGGCAUUAAAGACGAGGAGGUGAGCAAGGCUGUCAGCUUGGAGGAACUGUGUGAAUUUACAGAGUCCAGAGAACGCACAACUGUCCAACUCUGUUCACAGAAACUUGAAUGACGAAAACUCUGACAGGGUCAGACAGGGGAUAAACAAUUCCUCGGAGGAGAGGAGAAGCCUGGCCUGGAGAUGGAUCUUAAAGGAACUGGAAGUAGUUCCGUGGGAAGUGGAGGAGGCUGCUUGGCCGUGGGGGACAGCUGAUGCAGGACAUAUGACAGGUCCACCAUCCAUCGCAGGAAGUAAUGUUUGGAAGAAGCACCAAGCCUGGGCAUCUGGACCAAGAGAAUUCUGGAAGGCAGCAGGCCAUCAUUUUCCAGCCAAACACAAAUACCAUCAGGAUGAGGCUAGAAGAAGAAUGAUUAUGUCAUGUAAUAAGGGCUGACUGUGAUCAAGACAAUUGGAAGAAUGAAUCUCUCUUCCAAGAAAAUUCAAGUUCAAUACAUCUUAGCUGAAUACACUUUAUACAUCUUUUAGUCACAUUAAAAUUUUUUAUUU
rnacentral:lncRNA from 1 species